rnacentral:rRNA from 1 species
GACGAACGCUGGCGGCGUGCCUAAUACAUGCAAGUCGAACGCAGUGGGGACGGGUGAGUAACACGUGGGUAACCUCCCAUCAGAGGGGAUAACACUUGGAAACAGGUGCUAAACCGAUACUGAUGGAUGGACCCGCGGUGAAUUAGCUAGUUGGUGAGGUAACGGCUCACCAAGGCCACGAUGCAGAGACGACCGGGGAGGGGGAUCGGCCGCCCUGGGACGGAGACACGGCCAAGGCUCCUACGGGAGGCAGCAGUAGGGAAUGUUCGGCAAUGGACGAAAGUCUGACAGAGCAACGCCGCGUGAGUGAAGAAGGUUUUCGGAUCGUAAAACUCUGUUUUUAGAGAAGCGGUAUCUAACCAGAAAGCCACGGCUAACUACGUGCCAGCAGCCGCGGUAAUAC